UCCUGUGCCCGAGAAGAGUACCGUCCGAAAUUGUCCAAGCAAAGACAUCAAGGGCAGUCGGCAACCUGGGGAAAACCAAGAUGGCCGCCGGUUUGAUGCCACAGACGCCUGACUUGAGCGUUUACCUCCGCCGCCCAUCCCCGUGAGCCUGGGGUUCCUCUGGGGGUGUCAGCGGAUACACAGCUGAUGGAUGUGUCCCUGUGUUGGCGAACUCACUGCCACCCUCUUCCCCCACACACCAACUGAUGUAGAAGGAAGACCUUCCCACCUGUGCCACUGACGCCACAGACCACCCCCGCCCCCAGCCCCGACGGGGCGACAAGAGCUGCUCUCCGUUCCCAGCCUCUUGAGAAAUAAGAGAGACAAAAGAGAGGGCACAGGCCUCUGCUUUGUUCUGAGAGUCCAGGAGCAAACAGAUUAUUUACGGGGAGUGUUCUCUGAUUGCAGAACAAGCAGGCUUUGGGGGUCCGCAUGCCCAGGCAUUUAUGCUCAACCAUGAGUAUGUGUUAAAUAUGUACAGUCCCGCGUUUCCUCCAAGUCUCCUUUUCUUAAGACUUCAGCGUGCUCCAGCUCUCAUGUCUGGUUCCCUCUCGCGUCUUUGUGUCUGUGUGAGGCUUUGUUGCACAUCGGACUAUAUUUGGGGACGCUUUCUGCCGCGCUGGGAAAACAGGAAGUUGCCAUCUUUGGGGACCGUGAAUCAAAGUGGAGAUGGAAAACCCCUUUCUCGGGACACUUUCAACAGGACCCUCCGAGUUCCUGCUGCACCUGCUGAGAACUAGGUAUGAGGAGAGGACCAGAAGGGUGGCCAACCUCUCCUCAGACAACAGAAGCCAGAGAAGCAGGUUUUGCUUACAGUCCUGGGGAUCCACGUCAGGGCAUCACGUGUGCCAGGUGAGGGCAGGGGUCAGGUAUGGCAAACAAACACGCGACGAGGACGUAUUUCACAGAGGUGUGG